AGCGAACGCUGGCGGCAGGCUUAACACAUGCAAGUCGAGCGGGCAUCCUUGUGGUGUCAGCGGCAGACGGGUGAGUAACGCGUGGGAACGUGCCCUUCGGUUCGGAAUAACUCAGGGAAACUUGAGCUAAUACCGGAUACGUGCGAGAGCAGAAAGUUUUAUCUGCCGAAGGAUCGGCCCGCGUCUGAUUAGCUAGUUGGUGAGGUUAUGGCUCACCAAGGCGACGAUCAGUAGCUGGUCUGAGAGGAUGAUCAGCCACACUGGGACUGAGACACGGCCCAGACUCCUACGGGAGGCAGCAGUGGGGAAUAUUGGACAAUGGGGGCAACCCUGAUCCAGCCAUGCCGCGUGAGUGAUGACGGCCUUAGGGUUGUAAAGCUCUUUUCUCCGGGACGAUAAUGACGGUACCGGAGGAAUAAGCCCCGGCUAACUUCGUG
rnacentral:rRNA from 1 species